rnacentral:misc_RNA from 1 species
CAGAACUCGAGAGGGUCUAGUUGAACUCGUGUACGAUCCAAAUUUAACAAAAUCCCCUUCAACUUGGAAUCCCCUGAGCCAUACGCUCGUAUGAAAGGUUCAAAGUUCUGAACCCUCCAUUGUGAAGUACCUCUCUGUGGCUCCUAAACCCUUUUCCAAGUUUAACCUGAAAAUUACACUUAAACCAGUCCUCUUCAACUUCAACCAUUGUUUUUCUUGUCCUAACUUCCAAUCCAACUACCCUUCUCUCUUCAAGUUCCUAGCAGAAAAAUGCAUGUCCAGUCCUUGCUUCAUUCUUCUCACACUCCUUUCCAAACCCUAGAACCCAGAUUUUUUUCUCAGUCUUUAUUUCUCUCCAAGAAGCUUCCUCCAUUGCUAGCUGCACCCGAGGACUUCCGCAGCUCCUUUUUGCCUCCAAGCUUACGCACUAUUAAAUCAAGAAGCAGACUUGUCACUCCUUGCGUAAGUCCCAGCCAAGAACUUGUCGAUAAUACUGUGAGCGAAAAUGAUGCUAAUAUUGCUUCAGAUUCGCUCUGUAAUGAAGAAGAAAAGGAAGAGGAAAUGAAAAUGGAGGUUAGCAGCAGAGAGGUAUUGGAGAAUCAGAGCUUAUGGAAUCAAAUUAAAGAGAUUGUGAAGUUUACAGCACCCGCCACUGGGCUAUGGAUUUGUGGGCCGUUGAUGAGUCUUAUUGACACUGCUGUUAUUGGCCAAGGAAGCUCCCUUGAGCUUGCUGCUUUGGGUCCUGGGACAGUUUUGUGUGACAACAUGAGUUAUGUGUUCAUGUUUCUUUCAAUUUCUACAUCGAAUAUGGUUGCCACUUCCCUUGCCAAACAGGUACCCAAGACUAUCUAAUAUGUCUCUAUGCCGGUUUAUGCCUAAGUUGAACAAAGCUAACACAAUAAUUUGGGAUGAUAAUCUUUUGAGAAGCUAAUAAAAGCAACCAUAUAUUGGGGCGGUGCUGUUUCGGGGGGGAGCUCUGUUUGACUAUGCACAAUUGGUGCAGGAUGAAAAUGAAGUGCAGCAUCAACUAUCUGUCUUACUCUUUAUUGGAUUGACUUGUGGCUUCCUAAUGGUUCUCUUCACCAAGUUCUUUGCUGCAUCAGUAUUAGCUGGUAAUAGAGACUGCUUUUACAGGUUCCAAUAAUUUACAUAUUGUUCCUGCAGCAAACAAAUAUGUUCAGGUUUAUUCUCUUUAAAAUAAAUGUAUUUCUUUUAUUCUCCUUUGUGUUAUUGGUGAAUCUUAGUAAAAUAUAUGCAUACAAAGAGAAGAAUAAUAGUAUCAUGGAAGUUGGAAUUUUCCUUUGAUUUCAUUUGCUUGCUAUUAAUCUUUUGAAUUCAAUACUCAUUUUCUAUUAUCAUUCUUUGUCAUUGUUCACAUUUAUCUGCUUUAUUUUCAGAAUACAAAAGCAAAGACAGCACCAAACAAAUUGUAAAAACUGAAUUGAACUUGAAACAAG